rnacentral:misc_RNA from 1 species
AACGCACCUUGCGCUCCUUGGUAUUCCGAGGAGCAUGCCUGUUUGAGUGUCAUGAAAUUCUCAACUGCCCCAGGCUUUGUGGCCUGCGGGUGAAGUUGGACUUGGAGGUAUGCUGGCGCAUGAAUGGGCUUUUGUGCCCCGUCUCGCUUGUUGGCUCCUCUCGAAUGCAUGAGCUUUCCAAUCCUUGGCAAAGUAUCGUCGAUGUGAUAAUUGUCUACGUCGCCUGAGAAAGCCGAAAAGGGGAAAUCUUUGAUCACGCUGGGGUGACCUGCGUCUGACAAAUUCGACCUCAAAUCAGGUAGGACUACCCGCUGAACUUAA